CUGAAAUUUUCAGAUGAAUCGGUCAACCUGUUGUUGGGUUGCUGCCCCUGAAUUGGUAAUUUUGAGGAAAUUUUGCUGUUUUUGGUUAUUAUCUUGAAUAUUAUCAUAGAUAGAGAUAAACUGUAAACAGCAAUAAUGUUCAUCAAAGUAUGAUUUACAAAUAAGUCAACAUGACCGAAAUGGUCAGUUGACCCCUUAAGGAGUUAUUGCCCUUUAUAGUCAAUUUUUAACAAUUUUCAUUAAUUUGGUAAAUUUAUGUAAAUUUUUACCAAAUAUUUUUCUCUGUUACUAAUGGGCAAAGUUCAUUAUAGAUAUAAUUGUAAGAAGCAAGAAUGUUCAGUAAAGUAAGAACUUCAAACACAUCACCAUCACCAAAAUACAAUUUUGUCAUGAAUCCAUUUGUGUCCUUUGUUUAAUAUGCACAUAGACCAAGGUGAGCGACACAGGCUCUUUAGAGCCUCUAGUUUGGCAAU
rnacentral:lncRNA from 1 species